rnacentral:rRNA from 1 species
GGACGAACGCUGGCGGCGUGGAUUAGGCAUGCAAGUCGAACGGUAUCAUCCUUUCGGGGGUGAGAGAGUGGCGAACUGGUGAGUAACACGUAGGAAUCUACCCUUAAGACGGGACAACCCAGGGAAACUUGGGCUAAUACCGGAUGAGAGUGCGAGAGAUUGCAUUUAAAAGGAUGGCGAAAGUUGUCGCUUAGGGAUGAGCCUGCGGUCUAUUAGUUAGUUGGUGAGGUAAGAGCUCACCAAGGCGAUGAUAGAUAGGCGGCCUUAACGGGUGGUCGCCCACACUGGGAUUGAGAUACGGCCCAGACUCCUACGGGAGGCAGCAGUCGAGAAUAGUCUACAAUGGCCGGAAGGCUGAUAGUGCGACGCCGCGUGAACGAGGGAGCCCUUCGGGGUGUAAAGUUCUUUUCUAUACGAGCAGUGCUAUAUAUAUGGAUAGUAUAUAUAGAGGGAUAGUAGUAUAGGAAUAAGCAACGGCUAACUCCGUG